GACCGGUUGGUUUGGUUUUGAAGACGUGGAUGGCGGGAAUUCUCGCUCCUGGCCUGGCAAGGACAUUGAGGUCCCUAUCACCGCUUGCCUAGACAACUUCAUGGGAAGGCCCUUGGGAAUCUGAGAUGGAGCAGGCGAACCCUUUACGUCCAGAUGGCGAGUCCAAAGGAGGUGUUUUAGCUCACUUGGAAAGGCUAGAGACCCAAGUGAGCAGAUCCCGUAAACAGUCUGAAGAGCUGCAGAGUGUGCAGGCCCAGGAAGGUGCUCUUGGAACCAAGAUUCAUAAACUAAGGCGUUUGCGAGAUGAGCUGAGGGCUGCGGUGCGGCACCGGCGAGCCAGCGUGAAAGCAUGUAUUGCCAAUGUAGAACCCAACCAAACAGUGGAGAUCAAUGAGCAGGAAGCACUGGAAGAGAAAUUGGGAAAUGUGAAAGCCAUUCUGCAGGCAUAUCAUUUUACAGGUUUUGUUUGUUUUUUUAACCUAAUUUAGUCUGGGUCUGCCUCUAGUGAGUUAGUUUGCUAGAUGUGUUAUCAGUCCUGGACUUAUUUCAUAAUUUAUAGUAUUUUACACCCUCUGCCCUCAUCACACACAGACACACACAGACACACACAGCUGACAUGCUAUUUGUAGGCCUAUCUUCACCUACAAGAUUGACUGGCCCCUUUGUACAGCAGCUGAGUUGGUGGCUGGCUUAUUCCAUUCAUUUUAACAAUUCGUCAUGUGCCAGACCCUGUACUAGAA
rnacentral:sRNA from 1 species